UCUGCGUGGAUGAUGGUGAUCUGAAAUCGCCAUCCUUCGUGAAUAUGACCCCUAAUGGUUCCCUUGCUAGACAUGGGAAUCGUACUAACCUAGGUAGAGAUGAUGAUGAAAAAUUAUAUAGUUAUCGUAAAUGUAGCAAUAAGUUUACGUCUUAUAAGUCUCCAGCUAUUAGAAGAAUAAGAAAGUCCAAAUACUGGAAACAAGUCUCCAAGGAUUUUGGACACUACAGAGCUGGUAAGUAUCUAAAUACAUUUCUUCAUUUUUUUCUAUUAUGCCCUAUACUUACUUUUGGUUCACGAGUGUCUAGAUGUUGGCAUAAAGGCUCUUUACCGCAAAAGAAAAUCAUGUUAUGGAUACAACACAUGGAAACAUGAGACCAUUUAUAAGAGGAGAAGAUCACCGGACCGAAGCUCGGUUGUAACUUCUGAUGGUGGACUUUGUAAUGGAAGUGUUUCCAAGUUACCUCAAAAGCGAGACUCAGGUGGUUAUUGCAAGUUUGCAACUCUUCAGUUAUCUUAUUUAGCUGUUGUGGUUCUCAUGUAUUUUUUUAAAUCUCUGGUGCAGUAAAGCUAAGCAUCAAGUCCUUUAGGAUUCCAGAGCUUUUUAUUGAAGUUCCAAAAACUGCAACAGUAGGAUCACUUAAGGUAUCCCAAGGCUCCUCGUUCUUGCAGGGUAAAAAACCGUUCAUGUCAUUGAUUCUCUUCUGCAUCUUUGUUAGUUCUCUGUGUCAUGAAUGACUCUCGGUUGAUUUUUUUCAGAGGAAGGUUCAAAACAAGAGAACCGAUGAUGAUGAUGACGCUAAGAUGUGUGCAAUGGACUUGCUCGCUUCUCUGGCUGGAAAGAUACUAGAGGAAGGCCAGAGCUCCUCAGCCUCUUCCAAUGCAUUUGAAGGGAAUACUCACGAGAACUUCGGAAAAGAAAUCAAAACUGAACGAGAAGAUCAUGACAAGCCUCUUAAAUCUGAGUCGUCUGACCAAGGAAACUCUGUUUCAAUGCCUACAUAUGAAAACACUAGCGACAAGUGUGCGGUAAAUAGCUUCUCAUUUCCUGAUAACGACGGCAUUUUGGAGCGCACUCCGAUGUCUGAUCACAAGAAGAUUCAUGGGGAGACGGGUGAUGUUCAUGUGAAUCCUGGGUUCGAACAAGGAGAAGCAACCGGUGGCUUAACCACUAACACUUGCAACUUAGAGGAUAAAACUGCAUUAGAUGUGCAGUUUCCUAAACCAGUCUGCGUGGAUGAUGGUGAUCUGAAAUCGCCAUCCUUCGUGAAUAUGACCCCUAAUGGUUCCCUUGCUAGACAUGGGAAUCGUACUAACCUAGGUAGAGAUGAUGAUGAAAAAUUAUAUAGUUAUCGUAAAUGUAGCAAUAAGUUUACGUCUUAUAAGUCUCCAGCUAUUAGAAGAAUAAGAAAGUCCAAAUACUGGAAACAAGUCUCCAAGGAUUUUGGACACUACAGA
rnacentral:lncRNA from 1 species